rnacentral:tRNA from 1 species
GUUUCUGUAGUGUAAUGGUAAUCACGUCCGCCUAACACGCGGACGGUCGUAGGUUCGAACCCUGCCGGAAACA